CCCAGGUUGUCGAGUGUGAUGGCUUUACUGGUUACAUUCGUUGCCAUGGCUACAUGGCCAGAUCGCAUGAUGCUGCUUCCCCCAGAAGCCGUCACCAAAAUCUAGAAGUGCGGGGUCCGGAGUUACGGCUGGCGGAGCUGUGGCAGACGCAUGGGGGAUAGCUUGGGGGGAAAGAGGUCACCCUGAAAAAAUCAUCGAACCAGCUACAAAUAAAAGUGUAAAAUAAAAAAAUAAGAAUGUGGAGAAGAAACUGGUGGCUCCAUUUGUCACAUAAUAUAAUUGUGAGGAGAGGCGAAUUAGGAGGACCCUAACUCGGCACUGGCACAUCUUGAAAAUGGAUCCGGUACUAAGUGACAUCAUCCCGGACUGACCAGAAAUGAUUUUCAGUAAAUCCAGAAACUUGAAAUAAAUAUUCACUCCAAGCCAUUUAACAACCAAUAACAGACCCCAAUCAAUGCUGAAGUGUGUAGUCACUGAAACAUCUGUCAAUUCGUUAAUCUGAACAGAAGAACCUUCCUUAAUUCAGAUAAUUCCAAAAAAUUCUAAAUAAAACAAUUUAUUAAUUGUUACACUACUUCGGUGAUUUAUAUGAUUCUAUGUGGUUGUGGCCUAGGAUAUGUAGGAAAGACAAAAAGAUCCUUGAAAUUGUGCUUACAAGAACAUCUAUGCAAUAUUAAGAAUAAAGUCAUCAGCCACCCGUCCUCUAGGUAUUUUUCCUCACAUCAUGGAUUGGAAGGGGAUUCACUAACAUUUAAAGCCAAUUAGGCCGUAAAGGGGGCAAUCUGGUUAAAUUACUUGUACAGAGGGAGAUGUUCUGGAUUUUUGCCCUGGACAUAUGGCCAAAAUGGGGGAUAUGAAAUAGCCCCUUUUUUAUAACCUUCUGUGUAAUCCAUGUUUGUGUAUCUUAACAUUUUUAAGCUUUUUUUUUGCUAAUUC